rnacentral:rRNA from 1 species
CCCGGGCCUUGUACACACCGCCCGUCACAUCACGAAAGUUGGUUGUACCGGAAGCCGGUGCUCUAACCCUUCGGGGGGAAGCCGUCCAUGGUAUGCCUAGCGAUUGGGGUG